rnacentral:sRNA from 1 species
UGGUAUGAGAUCUCCAUACAUAAAAGUUG